rnacentral:rRNA from 1 species
CCUACGGGGGGCAGCAGUGGGGAAUAUUGCGCAAUGGGCGAACGCCUGACGCAGCGACGCCGCGUGAGGGAUGAAGGUCUUCGGAUCGUAAACCUCUGUCAGCAGGGAAGAACGGUCACUGUGCUAAUCAGCAGUGAAUUGACGGUACCUGCAAAGGAAGCACCGGCUAACUCCGUGCCAGCAGCCGCGGUAAUACGGAGGGUGCGAGCGUUAAUCGGAAUUACUGGGCGUAAAGCGCUCGUAGGCGGUAUGUCAAGUCAAGGGUGAAAUCCCCGCGCUCAACGUGGGAACUGCCUUUGAAACUGGCAAACUGGAGUGUGUGAGAGGAUAGUGGAAUUCCAGGUGUAGGAGUGAAAUGCGUAGAUAUCUGGAGGAACAGCAGUGGCGAAGGCGACUAUCUGGCACAUAACUGACGCUGAGGAGCGAAAGCGUGGGUAGCAAACAGGAUUAGAUACCCCUGUAGUC